UUAUUAGUAUUUUAUUUACAAAUUUAUGUAUUAAAUCAUGUAUUUCUAAAUCAGCCUAUUUAUUUGUGAAUCUAUUGUUGUCACUUCCUAACACACAAAGUAACAGCUGCAGUAACAGACUAUGCUAGCGAAUGAAAAGAGCUCCUUUUAGUAGCUAGUAAAAGGGUAUAGCGACAGUUGCCUAUCACAUUGUGGAGCAGAAGGUAGAUAAUCUGUCUGAGCUGUAAACAGGCAGGAACAAAUAUUAAUGUCUGUUUAUUUUCAUGUAAACAGUCAUGAAUUUUUUUUUUUUUAAAAACAUGCCAUUUUUGAAGAGCCAUGAAGAUAAAAUAGAACUGUGAGACAGUGAGUUCUGAAAUAGAGGCACAUUAGCUGCAGACAGAGAGAAAUGUAUCACUCUUUGUUAUGCUAGAACACAAAAGGCAAUAGAUGAAAUAAAGCACGAAGAUAACCAGACGUGUCUGUGCCAUUUUUUUUUCAGUUAUAAUCAAAUUCUACACAGUUCAAAAAAAAAAAACCCAGACGCACAACCACAAGCUACAGAGCUUACAACAGCGUACCACAAAAUAUACAAUAUGCCAUGAAGAAAAAAGCACACACAAUGUUCCAUAAAACAAGACAGGAAUCCUAAUGGAAAAAUAUCAAUUCCUUCUUCUUUUCUUCAUCUUCUCUAUACCACUGAUAAAGGCCAAAAAAAAAUAAA